rnacentral:rRNA from 1 species
UACGUAGGGGGCAAGCGUUGUCCGGAUUCAUUGGGCGUAAAGAGCUCGUAGGCGGUUCGGCAAGUCGGGUGUGAAAACUCCAGGCUCAACCUGGAGACGCCACCCGAUACUGCUGUGACUUGAGUCCGGUAGGGGACCACGGAAUUCCUGGUGUAGCGGUGAAAUGCGUAGAUAUCAGGAGGAACACCGGUGGUGUAGACGGCUCACUGGACCAUAACUGACGCUGAGACACGAAAGCGUGGGUAGCAAACAGG